rnacentral:lncRNA from 1 species
CAAUUGGUAUCAGAGCCCAACUCUCUGAAAAACUUAACAGUUUGAGAGAACCAUCCAUGGCUUCUACUCUAGAUUCUUUUGCAGGAAUUGAAGAAGGGCAAUGCUCUACUAGACCUCCUCUAUUCAAUGGCACAAAUUACUCAUACUGGAAGGAGAGGAUGGAAAUCUUCAUUAGAUCAAAUUGUCCCUACCUUUGGAAGGUAUACACAAAGGGAAAUGAAAUUCCAGUCAAGAAAGUGGAAGGCGAAUGGAUUCCCAAAUCCGAAGAGGAGUACACCACAGAGGACAAUAGAAUGAUUCAAAUACUGGAAGGAGAGGAUGGAAAUCUUCAUUAGAUCAAAUUGUCCCUACCUUUGGAAGGUAUACACAAAGGGAAAUGAAAUUCCAGUCAAGAAAGUGGAAGGCGAAUGGAUUCCCAAAUCCGAAGAGGAAUACACCAAAGAGGACGAUAGAAUGAUUCAAAACAAUUAUAAAGCUGUAAAUUUAUUGUAUUGUGCUAUCAACCUAAUGAUUACAGGAAACUUUCAAGUUGCAAAACAGCGAAAGAAAUGUGGGACAAAUUAGAAGUAACCUACGAAGGGACUGACCAGGUAAGAGAAGCAAAAGUUGAUUUUCUUACUCAUGCUUACGAAUUGUUUCAUAUGAAGGAAGGAGAGAAAGUAGAUGAGAUGUUCGAGC